rnacentral:misc_RNA from 1 species
CCAACAUGUCUGAGAUUGAGGAGUUCUCCAAUACAACCUCCAACACAGAUUCUGAGAUUCUCACACCCAUAACCAACACAGGUUCUGAGAUUCUCAAACCCAUAUUUUCUUCCAUUGGUAAUUCACCAGCUAUUACUACUGUUAAAUUAGUAGAAAGUCAAAAUUAUAUGUCUUGGGCUGCAUCAGUGGAAUUAUGGUUUAUGAGGCAGGGGUAUGAUGACCACUUGGUUAAAAAUGCCAUAGAUAUAGCUUUAACAAAUAGAGCUAAUUGGACUAAGAUUGAUGCUCAAUUAUGUAGUCUCUUGUGGCAUUCUCUAGACCCAAAAUUACUUAAUAUUUUCCAAUCUUGUAAAACCUGUUACAAAGUUUGAACUAAGGCGAAAACCUUAUAUACAAAUGAUGUGCAGCGUAUUUAUAAGGUAGUAUCAGAUAUGGUUCAUCUGCAGCAAAAUCAACAAGAUAUGUCUAGUUAUUUGGGACAGGUAGAAUCACUGAAAGAUGAAUUUAAUUCUAUCAUGCCAUGUACUGAUAAUAUUUCUGAGCAACAGCGGGACAGGUUCUUCAUGGUUUUGGCAUUGAUUGGGCUAAGACCUGACCUUGAUUCUGUUAGAGACCAGAUAUUAACUAGUCCGGUUAUUCCCACUCUAGAGGAUGUGUCUGCCAGGCUUCUACGCAUCUCACUCAAUAAGAAUAAUUUCUCCGGAAUUGAAUCUUCAGUUUUAGCUGCACAAAGUGGAAACCAACCGAGACAGGGUACUUAUCAGAGAGGCAAGGGUAAAAGGCUCCAUUGCACUUAUUGUGAUAAGAGUAAUCACACUCAAGACACUUGUUGGGCCCUUCAUGGUCGACCACCACGCCCCAUUCAGUCAAAUAAUGUGGGCCGAUCAACUGCUCAUAUGGCUCAAUCCGGUGAAAAUGGUAUUCUUCCAUUACCUGAUGGAAAGGAUCAGGUGUCAGAUUCUAUCCUAUUAACUGGAGCUGAUUACAAGGAGUAUUUGCAAUAUCAAAAAGCCAAACAGCAAUCUUCUAACAGUGCUCAUUCUAGUAAUUCCUUUGCUUAUCUAACACAAUUUUCGCUCACUGGUCCAUGGAUCCUAGACUCUGGUGCUUCUGAUCAUAUAUCUGGUAACAAAAGUCUUUUCUCAUCUCUAGUUUCUCCUCCGGUUUUGUCUAAAGUUACUUUGGCUAAUGGUUCACAAACUUUAGUUAAGGGCAUAGGCGAAAUAAAAAUAUUUCCAUCUAUUCCUUUAACCACAGUUUUGUUCACUCCAGAAUGCCCAUAUAAUUUAAUCUCCAUUAGUAAAUUGACUAAAAAUCUCAAUUGUUCUGUCGCCUUUACAGCUAACUCUAUUGUUGUGCAGGACCGGAGUACGGGGAAGAUGAUUGGAGUAGGAUGUGAGUCACAAGGGUUGUACCAUCUUUCUACUUCAAAUUCUCCAGUUGCUCUUGCCUCUACCACUUCCGCUGAUCUUCUUCACAAUCGUCUGGGUCAUCCGAGUCUUGCCAAAUUGCAAAAAUUAGUUCCCAGUCUUUCUAGUUGACAGGACUCACAUUCAAAAGAAGAUAAACUAGAAAGACUAGGAACUAAUUUUUACAAUUUGGCAAGACUCGGA